rnacentral:lncRNA from 1 species
AAUGUUACUAGAUGAUCAGGACAUUGUGCAGAGAAGUGGCCAAAUCCUUUGCAUAUGAAGUAUUGGAUUUUAGCUUUAUAUUUGAAACUUGUGCCCAAUAUUGUUGAGAUUAGGGAUGGCAUUGGGUUUAGUCAGAUACAAGUGGUCAAAAUCUGUCAACCUGAACUCUUUUGUUUAUUAAGCAGGUCAAAAACCCAGAUCUGAACCUGACCAUUUUAUUAAAUAGGUAAUCUAACUUGAGCUACAAUGGGUUGAAUCAAGUUAAACUGGUUAAACUGGUUAAGCAUUGCCACACUUGGUCAAGAUCAGAUUAGAUUGUAAAUUGUAGAGGGGUAGG